rnacentral:misc_RNA from 1 species
UACGGAGGGUGCAAGCGUUGCUCGGAAUUACUGGGCGUAAAGCGGACGUAGGCGGUUUAGUAAGUCUGAUGUGAAAGCCCCGGACUCAAUCCGGGAAGUGCAUUGGAUACUGCUAGACUUGAGUGCAGGAGAGGUGAGUGGAAUUCCAGGUGUAGAGGUGAAAUUCGUAGAUAUCUGGAGGAACAACAGAGGCGAAGGCGACUCACUGGACUGUAACUGACGCUGAGGUCCGAAAGCGUGGGGAGCAAACGGG